CCUACGGGUGGCAGCAGUGUGGGAUAUUGCACAAUGGGGGGAACCCUGAUGCAGCGACGCCGCGUGGGUGAAGAAGCGCCUCGGCGCGUAAAGCCCUGUCAGCAGGGAAGAAAAUGACGGUACCUGAAGAAGAAGCCCCGGCUAACUACGGGCCAGCAGCCGGGGUAAUACGGAGGGGGCAAGCGUUAUCCGGAUGUGCUGGGGGUAAAGGGGGCGCAGACGGCGAUGCAAGCCAGGAGUGAAAGCCCGGGGCCUAACCCCGGGACUGCGCUUGGAACUGCGUGGCUGGAGUGCAGGAGGGGCAGGCGGAAUGCCUGGUGUAGCGGUGAAAUGCGUAGAUAUCAGGCGGAACACCGGUGGCGAAGGCGGCCUGCUGGACUGCAACUGACGUUGAGGCCCGAAAGCGUGGGGAGCAAACAGGAUUAGAUACCCUUGUAGUC
rnacentral:rRNA from 1 species